UGCGCAGGCGGCUUUGCAAGUCGGGAGUGAAAUCCCAGGGCUUAACCCUGGAAUUGCUUUCGAAACUGCAAGGCUUGAGUCUCGGAGAGGUUGGCGGAAUUCCCAGUGUAGAGGUGAAAUUCGUAGAUAUUGGGAGGAACACCAGUGGCGUAAGCGGCCAACUAGACGAGUACUGACGCUCAAGCACGAAAGCGUGGGAGUCAAACAA
rnacentral:rRNA from 1 species